CGGUCGGUCGGACCGAUCCAAUCGGAAUCUAGUGGCCUAACCAGAUCGGUUUUACUAUUGGAUUGAUCAUGCAAUUAACCUUGAAUGACCUGAUCAAACUCGGCCGAUUAUGUAUCGAAUUCCAGUUGGACCGGUCCGACUCGGCCG
rnacentral:pre_miRNA from 1 species